GGCCUUUAAACCUUAGGAAAAAAGAACAAAACAGAGAAAAACUCUCUCUAAAAACUUAGAGACUUCGGUAAACCACCUGUGACGAUGUGCACAUUGAAUCUAGUUUGGUAGAUUUUUAUGAAAAUGCAAGGAAAUAUUGUUUGCACGUCACGUGCUUUUUUGAUCGGCAACGGUCAUUGGGUAUUUAUGAAAGAAAGAUUAAGAUUUCUGAAAUGGAGUGUUUUUGAGAUGAAAUUUAUUUUAACUUUCAUUUGACCUUAUUUUUUUUCUUUGAUUAAAAUAAAUUAGUGUCUAAU
rnacentral:misc_RNA from 1 species